AUUGAACGCUGGCGGCAGGCUUAACACAUGCAAGUCGAGCGGAGAUGAGGUGCUUGCACCUUAUCUUAGCGGCGGACGGGUGAGUAAUGCUUAGGAAUCUGCCUAUUAGUGGGGGACAACAUUCCGAAAGGAAUGCUAGUACCGCAUACGUCCUACGGGAGAAAGCAGGGGAUCUUCGGACCUUGCGCUAAUAGAUGAGCCUAAGUCGGAUUAGCUAGUUGGUGGGGUAAAGGCCUACCAAGGCGACGAUCUGUAGCGGGUCUGAGAGGACGAUCCGCCACACUGGGACUGAGACACGGCCCAGACUCCUACGGGAGGCAGCAGUGGGGAAUAUUGGACAAUGGGGGGAACCCUGAUCCAGCCAUGCCGCGUGUGUGAAGAAGGCCUUAUGGUUGUAAAGCACUUUAAGCGAGGAGGAGGCUACUGAGACUAAUACUCUUGGAUAGUGGACGUUACUCGCAGAAUAAGCACCGGCUAACUCUGUGCCAGCCGCCGCAGUAAAAC
rnacentral:rRNA from 1 species